rnacentral:ribozyme from 1 species
GUAGUCCAGACGAUCGCUGGGUCAAUAUUGACCGAGAGGAAAGUCCGAACACCGCAGGACAGGGUGCUUCAUAAUACGAAGUCGUGGCAACACGAAGGAAAGUGCAACAGAAAGUAUACCGCCAGACAUAGCAAAAGACCUUUGAAAUGAGUUUGACACAGAAAUUGGACAAAAAAGGUUUUUUCCAAAGGUCUCAUAGAGUGUCUGGUAAGGGUGAAAAGGUGCGGUAAGAGCGCACCAGUUUUUCGGGUGACCGAAAAAGCUUUGUAAACCCCACCUGGUGCAAGACCAAAUAGAGAAGCGUUUGAGGGCUGUCCGUCC